CAGCACAGAGCCUGACGCGGGGCUCGAACUCACUGACCAUGAGAUCACGACCUGAGCUGAAGUCGGACGCUUAACCGACUGAGCCACCCAGGCGCCCCCCCAAUAGGCCAUUCUUGACUGUUACCAGCAAAAAAGUUAUCCUGGGCUCAAUACAUUUGUGUGAAAUUUUAAGCUUCUUAUGAUGUACUUGAAGAGUCUGGUGCACAGUUGCCGGUAAAGUGAGUUGGGACGAUGGGCCGAGCCGAGGUGGCCAGUGGUCCUGGUGGGGAGACACGAGGAGGAGGAGGAGGGGGUGGGGGGAGACGAGUCACCGGCAAAUGCUAGGAAGACAGGGAGGCUCCCAGCCGUCCUGGGCUCCAUCCACCGCCACUGUCGCGCAGCGUCCCCGAGUACCACUUGCUCCCCAGGGAAAACCUCAGUCGGCUCCCUACUUCCCACCGUAUGACACCAAGUCUAAGUGCUGGCUUGGCUCUCAUAAAGCCCGACGAGGCAGCCACUAAGACCAGCAAGCUUUUUGUUCCAGUUGCUCCUUUCCUGCCACUCAAAAGCAGAGGAAGGACUUCAACGCUUGGAAUAUCCUUCUUUUGCACCCAUAGCUCCGGCAGGGCGAGGGAUGCCCUCUUCCCUCUUCCUACACUCCCCACCUGGGCACAUGCAUAAACGCUCGCGGAGCCAGUGCCGCAGCGUGUGUUUUCCGGUCUCUUCUUCACACCCUCAUCACCCGCUCUUUAUCCAAGCUGACGAUAGGCUAAAAAGAGGCUUCUCACAUAAUCUCCAUCAUUGCCCCCGCCAGUCAUGCUGGGGUAAUGGUAACAAAAGCUGACAUUCAUGAACAGAAUGGAAAGGGCCCUGUUCCUACGCCGGCAAAAGGCUCGUUUGCAGUGAACAAUUCAGGGCAGUAAAGAACUGGAGAGGAUCUCGGGAGGGAAAGGAGCGAGUGGCUAUAUUCCUAUUAAAAAAGGCAAGUGAAUAGGGCUUCCAGAAAGAGACAAGUCUGACAGAGACAUGCUUCAAUGCUGUUUCUAUCAAGACUUCAUCUUAACUUAUCUUUAAACAAGAGUAUCCCUGGCCCAUAAAUACUCGAGUUCUUUGACUUUUGCAGAUAGCUUAAAACAGUGAAUUAUCUAAAGCUUUAUCAGUUUAAAGAUUUCACUUAGAAUAGCUUGGUUUUUAGUUUACAGCCUUAUUCUGAAUUUGCCUUAGCCCCGUGAAAAGUCUAGAUAAUUUAUGUUUCAUGUUCUCUUAAAGUACUCGGAACAGUAAUGUCAAAGGCUAAACCAGAACUCAACCAAUUAAAAUAAUGGCCUCUACUGCCUGCAGACUCCUCUGGUGCGGUUUUAAAGAUUAACGUAGACACAUUCAAGAAGUAUGGCUUCUGUCUUGGGAAACUUUACAGGCGAGAAAGAUGGCGUUGUUUCAAGAUAAUAACCAUAAUGACAGAAAUAACACCGCUGAAAAUAAUGUGGUAGAGAUUGCCAGUGCAUUCUUCAUGCCCGUUCUUUGAAGAGAGUUUUGAUUUUGUUGGGAGAAGCCAAGUGCAAAGCCUUCAUUACUCAUGGGUGGAGGGGAGGCCCGUGACUGACUUCAGACCCGUGUCACGUAAGCGAAAGUUGUCGGGUAGGGCUUUUCCAGGAAAGCUCCUUAAAAGCAGGCACACUCAGCUGGUAGUAUCUUUUUGCCCUUUAGCCUUCAGUUCUUUCUGCCGGGGCCGAGCACACGAGGCCACGGCAGAGCGGCCACCUUGGACCUCAGAGGCGAUCACGAGGGAAGGGCCAAGAUUACCGCAGUGAUCUCAGGCCUGAAUUCUUGAGCUGCUGAACCACAGCCUGUCAUGGCCCUGCCUCUUCACUUCUUGUGAAAGGCGAAGCCCAGGAGAAAACGCCGAUGUUUGACACUUUCUGUCGCCGAGCUCCACCUUAGACGUGUGAAACCAGACGUGCGUGUGACAGAUCCAACCAGAAGGAGGCGGCACCAGUUACCUCCGGAUUCUGGUCUCCGUCUCCCUCUAACCGCCGCUCUAUCCUGCCACUGGCAUUUUCUUCCAUCGCUCCCGAUUCAGAAAACAGGACGCAGGCCCUUCACGACCCGGUCCAAGUCAACUGUUCCGAGUUCUAGCAAAACGCCUCAGUCCACUGAUACCUGGUCAGACUAACCAGCUAAAUUCAGCGGUCUGAGCUUCGUAGGUUAAAGAUUCACCGAAGGACAUAAACCACCAAAAAGAAAAUCACUUCUUACAGUAACCAAAGGCCGAAAGAUCGACUCUCUGUCGCUUGGGACUCUCUUUCUUUUGAAAAGUUUUAAAACAUCUUAAAGCACAAAAGGGAAAAUGCUUUGCUAUUUUGGGCCUCUUCUUUCACUCUUGUAAAUGACAUCUGCAAUGUCAACAUUCAGCGAGCGCUAUUCGGAAUUUGGCACUUUUAAUUCAUGUGAAAAUGCCAAUUCCACUGAGUAAAGAAGAUAUUAAAGUUAUAUUCAACAUAAAGUGCAAAUAUUUCAUCAAAGUGGGUUCAGGAUAAAAAUGUUAAUUAUAUGUAAAAAUUAAAUACCACCUUAUGAAUCA